rnacentral:rRNA from 1 species
GAUGAACGCUGGCGGCGUGCCUAAUACAUGCAAGUCGAGCGAACGGACGAGAAGCUUGCUUCUCUGAUGUUAGCGGCGGACGGGUGAGUAACACGUGGAUAACCUACCUAUAAGACUGGGAUAACUUCGGGAAACCGGAGCUAAUACCGGAUAAUAUUUUGAACCGCAUGGUUCAAAAGUGAAAGACGGUCUUGCUGUCACUUAUAGAUGGAUCCGCGCUGCAUUAGCUAGUUGGUAAGGUAACGGCUUACCAAGGCAACGAUGCAUAGCCGACCUGAGAGGGUGAUCGGCCACACUUGAACUGAGACACGGUCCAGACUCCUACGGGAGGCAGCAGUAGGGAAUCUUCCGCAAUGGGCGAAAGCCUGACGGAGCAACGCCGCGUGAGUGAUGAAGGUCUUCGGAUCGUAAAACUCUGUUAUUAGGGAAGAACAUAUGUGUAAGUAACUGUGCACAUCUUGACGGUACCUAAUCAGAAGGCCACGGCUAACUACGUG